rnacentral:misc_RNA from 1 species
UACAAUAAGGACUGCUGUGACUCU